rnacentral:rRNA from 1 species
GACGAACCGUGCGAACGUUGUUCGGAAUCACUGGGCUUAAAGGGCGCGUAGGCGGUUGGUCAAGUCAGGGUGAAAUCUUUCGGCUCAACCGGAAAACUGCCUUUGAUACUGACUGGCUGGAGGGAGAUAGGGGUUGCGGGAACUACCAGUGGAGCGGUGAAAUGCGUUGAUAUUGGUAGGAACGCCGGUGGCGAAAGCGCGCAACUGGAUCUCUUCUGACGCUGAGGCGCGAAAGCUAGGGGAGCAAACGGG